rnacentral:tRNA from 2 species
GCCCGGGUGGUCUAGUGGUAUGAUUCUCGCUUAGGGAUUUCCUAAACCCCAAGCAUAUCUGCGAGAGGUCCCGCGUUCGAUCCGCGGCUCGGGCC